rnacentral:lncRNA from 1 species
UAGGAUUAUCAGAAUUUGAAAUGGUAUUGUGGAAGGGACUGUUCUAUUAAGUUUGCAAUAGAACCAGAUAUACUCUCCCCAUAAAAUGCACAUUCGUUUUUUUUUUUUUUACAUUAUAGUUUUUAAUAUUGCUUAUUGUUUGAAUUCUGUUUAGAGUCAAGCAAGCAUGAAGAAGGGUCAAACUGGAACCUAAGGGAAUGCCAGCCAAGCAGGGCUCUUCCUGAAGCUGUCAAAGAAACUCAGUAGCAGAAACUCAUGAAAUGCUAUGAAGCAGACUCAUCUGUCCUUCAACACCUUCUGGCUACCAGCAUCUCAAUUAGCACCAAGCAAGAAACUUUCAAAGAGAAAUGGGCAGACAGACACUGUAACAAUAAAAAGUGCAGCUGCUGCACGAUGCCCUACAUUACAUUAGGGCGAUCCUUUUAGAAGUCAGAAGCUGUCUGCAGUAAAGGAUCAAACACGGCACACUGAUACACGCACAGAGCCCUGAGAGGUGGUGGAUGCUAUAACCUCAGGACUCCGGAGGCAGAGGCAGGGAGGAUUCAGAAUUCCAGGCCUGCCUUGGCUAUGCGGCAAAACCCUAUCUCAAGAAACAACGCAAAAUUCCAUGCACACAGUGCAGUCCCGCUGUGUGAUAAAGGUCAUCCAUUAUGGUUCAAUCAUUUUAAGAUAUAUAAGGCUGGUUGAAAUCCCAAGGGGGCGGAGAAGGAAAAAGGAAUGCAUGAAAAACAAGCAUGGAAAGGACAAUGGAACCACACAAGACAUAAGCUGUAAGUGUGGGGCUACAGCAUCAGUGAAGGGCUCUUAUGAUUUCAGCAUUUCUGCAAGUCCAGAGGCCAGCAGUGCCCUUGUACGAGAUGGAUUCCACCUCCUAACACACCUGAUGUCGCAUUUGGAAUGACUUUUCUUCCUCCAACUCUAUCUCCUCAGCUAGUUCAAGUACUUUGGACUACUAAUAAAACCCACUACGGACUGGUUCAACAGGUUUAACUGAGCUAGUUAAAUGACUGUUAUCUAUGAUGAAUUUGAAAGAUUUGAGUUUGACUAUCACUGUAAGAGAUGACCACUAGGAUCAUCCUUUGGUGUCUUUAGGGUUUGGUUCGGGAAAUGCCCUCAGAACAUCAAAAUACAUGCACA